UACGAAGGGGGCUAGCGUUGCUCGGAAUGACUGGGCGUAAAGGGCGCGUAGGCGGAUUGUCCAGUCAGGCGUGAAAUUCCCGGGCUCAACCUGGGGGCUGCGCUUGAGACGUGCGAUCUUGAGUGGGGAAGAGGGUCGUGGAAUUCCCAGUGUAGAGGUGAAAUUCGUAGAUAUUGGGAAGAACACCGGUGGCGAAGGCGGCGACCUGGUCCUUGACUGACGCUGAGGCGCGAAAGCGUGGGGAGCAAACAGG
rnacentral:rRNA from 1 species